ensembl:lncRNA
GUUCACUGUAGACCUUUGUAAGCCUGUGUCCUUUCCUUUUAUCUACCCCUGCCUCCUUUGUCUUCCUAGGAGCACAUUUGAGCUUCUACUCGAAUCUACAUCUCCUGAAUUGCAAUUCUUGAGACCCCCAAAUAAACUUUUUGGUUCUUUUGCAGUUUAUGCCUCUUAUUUGCUGACUUUACAUGGUGACAGAAGUGGGAUCCCUAGCUACUGACCUUCAAUUCUGGUGCCACUUCACAGACACAAGCAAGGUGCCUGCAAAGAAUCUUUUGUGCUCUGUCGUCUCCUCCUGGUGGCUCUGGUUCCUGGUGAUUGGUUGCAGACAAUGCUACAGGCAUCAGGAAUGGCGGAGCCAAGAGACGGGAAGUCAUGGGUGACUGACACACCCUGUGGAAGAGAACCACCUGCCCAACACGAAACCCACCUUGGCCUGUAAGGUUUCUCAAGAACUUGCUCCCAGAAAAAACCUGGAUGGAGAACAAAACAGAAAGUUAGCAGUGGGGAAGGAACUCGGGGCUGCAACAGCGCGCGGCUGCAGAGGCUGAAGCAGGAGCCGCGGCGGAGCCGGGAAGCGGGGGGCGCUGCAGACGGAACAGGUGCAGCCGACGGGUCAGUGCGCCCCCCUCGGGGGUGGUGUAGGGCCACCCGGACUCCGCGGGAAGAGUGGGGAGUGGGGCCAUGCAGCCGGGCUCUCCCCUGGCGCAGCAGCGGGACAGCGGCCAGGGCCGGGGGUGCAUUGGCGUC